CAGUUCAGUGAGAGCGAGCUGAGAGGCCUAGCUCCGCGGCAUAUCGCGGCAAGCUCGCGAUAGCGAUCGAGCUUGCCGCGCCGUUGCACGCGCAGCUUAGCAGCGCGCGCAGCAGUAGAGUAGGCCGGCGGCCAGACACUGAACUCGCAAACCAAACUAUCCUGGUACUAGGCCUCGAUCUACAUGUAGAAUAUAUUACAUACGGUACCGGGAACUGCAAGCAUGGUGAUGGGAUCGACAGAUGCGGUCCAUGAAUUAGAAAGUCUAGUUGAUGUACUUUGUAAAGAAGAUGAAGAAGAAAGGUGUGAGGGAAUUGCUGACCAGCUAAUGGAAUUGUCUCAUUCUCUUCAUAAACUGGGUUGUGAAGUCCUUCAUCAGCUUGUCAAGGAAAGAGGAGCUCAGAUUGAGCAGUGUGCUGUUAUGUUAUGGAAUGUAGCUGUAUCCAAGAACACUGGAAAUGCUAUUGGAGAUGUCCUCAAUGCUAAAAUACGCCAUCUAGCCAGUAACCUUGCAUUUACCAGUGGACUAUCAGCGAAGAACUUCACAGUACAGAAACGCCAUGUGAUGAUGGCAAGUAAAGCAGCAAGUGCUUGGAUAGAUUGCUGUCAGUUUUCAAUGGCGGAGCAAUGCCUUAGCCUUGCAUUAGAGGGUCUUGAGAAACUGAGGAACCAAGUCCAAGCUCCAAUCAACUCUCUUCCUGAGAAGAAAGAUUGGGCAGAUGAAAAGAAAAAAGAAGUCGAUAGAGAAGCAUUCAAGAUAUUUUGCUUCAAAGCAAAAGCAGCUGUUGGCCAGAAGCAGCAUACACAUGGCCUACAAUGGGUUGAGAGAGCUAGACCACUUCUUAAUACACUUAUCACAGAGGUGUCUGUGCUUGCAAGAAUGUGCUACAACUUUGGUGUGGAUGCUGUCAAGAGUAAAUUACCACAACAUGCUGUAGAAUGGUUAAGGACAAGCUUUGAGCUGGGGAAAGAAUGCCAUGAUUUUGACAACAAGUUACAGGCAAAAAGCCUACGUCUUCUGGCCGCUGCCUACUUAGAUUGGGAUGCUGUUGAGUACUGUCAGAAAGCACUGAAUGCUGUCAGUUUGGCUAAUGCGGAACACACUCACCCCUUCGGACUUCACCUCAAAGUCAAGAUUCUUUUGCUUGGAGACAGUGCUGACCACAAAAUAUUGCAAGCAGCGGUUGAGGAAGCUAUACUCCAUCAGAGUCUGUCUGUUGAUCUUGCUGUGGAAACUGUCAAAUUGUUAGCAAAGCAUGACAAAACUGAUAUUGCCCAGACAGCAUGCCGUCGGCUGACUAGUCGUUUCAUGGAAGCACCUGAUGUUGGCAAACUGCUUGUCCUUCAGCUGGAGCUCCUAACUAGAAACAACAAACAUCAACAAGCCAGGAACCUGGUGGAUGAAAUCAUUGCAGAUCACCGGAGCAAGCUCGAAAGCUCAGAACUAAGGCAUCUUCAUACUCUGAUUUGGGAACAAGCUGCUGCAGCUUUUGAGAAUAGCGAUUUCUCAGAAGCUAUCUUAUGGUACAACUUCUCCUUGAGUCUAUUAACAGAGAAUGCAGAGAUGGAAAAACCAAACAUCGCUAAACUGCAGCGCAACAGAGCAUCUUCUUACAUCAACCUGCGACAAUAUCAAAAGGCUGAAGAAGCUAUGAGAGAAGCUGAAAGAAAUGACCCUACCAACCUGUACACCUACUUCCUUUGGUUUAAAGUUGCUAUAUACAAGGAAGAUAACAAUGGUGCUGUAGCAGCUCUGCAAAAGUUGGGAUCUGUUGCAUCGGUGGAGGCUGGCUCUUGUAAUGAGGAGAACAUAGAGGAAAUCCACAGUCUCAUCUCUUUGGCAGCACAACUAGCAUUUGAGUGGAGUAAUCGCAAGGUUGCCAUAUCUGCUCUGGAGAGCCUCGUUAAGUGUUCUUCUGAUAUACAACAGAUCCUUACAUGUUACAGAUGCCUUACAAGAUUGAGAUUAACAAUAUCUGGAGAGAAGUUAGAUCCAAUAAUGGAAGCAGAUGGAGUAGCUUCAUACUUAGAGUCAGUUUUAGUUGAGCUGAAUAGCAUUGCUGUGAGAGAACCAAAGUCACCCAGUGAGACAGAUGUACUUAAGAAUGAAGCAGCUUGGUUUAUGAAAGUUGCAUGGAAUAUGGCAAUAGAGCAUUCCACAUUGAGCAGACUAGCACAUCUUUUCUUUGUCAAGUGUAGUAAGUUUUGUGAGCUAUUGUCUAAUGAUUCAAGUAAUCUUGGAAGGCAGAAGACUUGUCUUAUUAUGGCUGCUGCUGCUAGUCUUCAGAUGGCUAGAGAGGCUCAGGACAACAAUGAUAAGUGUGCUGCUUUCAAGAAAGUUUUGGAGCAUGUAUAUUCCUGCCAGAAUAUUUGCACUCAGCUGGACUCUGGAGUUAGUGGAAAGGGUGACAGGGCCCAUAUGAUGCUGCUCCUCUAUGAGUUUGAGGCCUUGGCUAAACUUGGAAGGGUCUCGGAACUAGAUCAAAUUUUGAAGAAAGUUCUGUCAUCAUCCGCCUAUGACGUCAAGACGAUCAAAACACUGGCAGAUCUUGCCAUGGAGCCUCCAGCCAAUCACAAACAGUUGAGUAAGAGACUCCUUCAUGCUGCUAUUAACAAACACAUGAGCUCAAAUGAUAUCGAUAUCAAAAUAUGCAGUAAAACCCUUCAAAAUGCUAUCAGACUGUGUUUAGGAGAGGGUCACAGUCCUGAUACAACAGGGAGAGAAGAGGCAUGGCAUCUCUAUCAAGUGGCAAUCAAGCUAUUGCAAUCAGAAAAGAAAGACUCUUAUCCAGAAGUAGACAUUGUUUGGUUGAUGACAAAAGCAUGGAACACAGGAAUAUAUUCCUUCAGCUCUGGUGAGUAUAGCAUUGCAGAUGUGUGGUGUUGUUUGGGAAUGGAACUGAUGUCAUAUCUCUCAGCUCUCAAGGCGAACUAUGAAGAAAAGAUGAACUCUUUGUUUGCAGAGAUUCAGACCAAGAUCAAGGAUUCAAAGCAUAAGGAUAGCUUAGAGGAAUGAAAUACACACAGCAGCCAACAUAACAGUAUUUAUCGUUUAGACUUCUUCUUGAUGAUACUCCUCAACGUCCCUAUUAGAGGAACCACCCGAGGAGGAAUUGAGAGUGCGCACUUUGUUUAUAAGACCUUGUUAUGUUAGUAAUUGCAGUUGGUCCCGCAACAGUUUUGCUACUGGUCAAGCAGGAAAGGGUUGCCAAGUAUUGUGAUGGCUUCUGCCAUGAUUGUUUGUGAAAAUUCUUGUCAUACUUUUAAUCACCCACUUGACAUGUUUAUGAUUUGACCCUUUAAAAUAAAAUUCUUUAAAAGUUGUAAAGGUUGCGUGCCGUGUUGACUUAUGGCAAUUAGUUUGUCAGGUCACUGAGAUAUUAUUACUAGUUUAAUUCUUAAUAAAAUAGGAAAUUUGUAAAAAUUACAUGGUAUUUUUUUUUAUUUCUGAACAUAUUGUGAUGUUCUCUUCGAUUAUAAAAUAUUAUAAUUUGUUUACAUGGUUGUGCAUAGAUUGGUUUCUGAGUAGCUUCUUUUAACAUAUGAAAAACAUAGAGCAAUUUUUUUUUUAAAUAGUUUUAUUUAGGAAUAUAUAUCCCGCAUUCUUUUAUUAGCAUUGCUAUUCUAUUAUUUUCAGUGUAAAAUUCAAUGAAUUUGUAUUAUUUCACCAUUCCAAAAUAUCAGUUUACUUUUAUCACAAUUCUACAUCAUUAAAUCAUUUUGGUUUGUGAUUUUGAGUAUUUUCUAUUUUAUAUGUGUUAUUAUUCUUUGUGAAUUAACAUAAAUCUGAACCUUGUUGUUAUUGUUACAUGUUUAAUUUUAAUUCAUUAAAGAUCAUUUUUUGAGCUCAAGUCAUUUGCUC
rnacentral:misc_RNA from 1 species